CCUACGGGAGGCAGCAGUGAGGAAUAUUGGUCAAUGGCCGUAAGGCUGAACCAGCCAAGUCGCGUGAAGGAAGAAGGAUCUAUGGUUUGUAAACUUCUUUUAUAGAGGAAUAAAGGUAUCCACGUGUGGAUAUUUGCAUGUACUCUAUGAAUAAGCAUCGGCUAACUCCGUGCCAGCAGCCGCGGUAAUACGGAGGAUGCGAGCGUUAUCCGGAUUUAUUGGGUUUAACGGGUGCGUAGGUUGUUUUUUAAGUCAGCGGUGAAAGUUUGUGGCUCAACCGUAAAAUUGCCGUUGAUACUGGCAGACUUGAGUGUGUUUGAGGUAGGCGGAAUGCGUGGUGUAGCGGUGAAAUGCAUAGAUAUCACGCAGAACUCCGAUUGCGAAGGCAGCUUACUAAGCCAUAACUGACACUGAUGCACGAAAGCGUGGGGAUCAAACAGGAUUAGAUACCCGGGUAGUC
rnacentral:rRNA from 1 species